rnacentral:rRNA from 1 species
AGUGAACGCUGGCGGCGUGCUUAACACAUGCAAGUCGAACGAGAACGGAUUAUAGCUUGCUAUAAUUGCCAGCUAAGUGGCGCACGGGUGAGUAAUAUAUAGAUAACCUGCCCUCUAGAAAGGAAUAACAGUUGGAAACGACUGCUAAUGCCCUAUAUGCCUUUAAUACAUAAGUAUGCAAGGGAAACGCUUUAGUGCUAGAGGAUGGGUCUGUAUGGUAUCAGCUUGUUGGUGAGGUAAUGGCUCACCAAGGCUAUGACGCCUAACUGGUUUGAGAGGAUGAUCAGUCACACUGGAACUGAGACACGGUCCAGACUCCUACGGGAGGCAGCAGUGGGGAAUAUUGCACAAUGGACGAAAGUCUGAUGCAGCAACGCCGCGUGGAGGAUGACACAUUUCGGUGCGUAAACUCCUUUUAUAUAGGAAGAUAAUGACGAUACUGUAUGAAUAAGCACCGGCUAACUCCGUGCCAGCCGCCGCCGUAA